UAAUGAGGUGACUUGGCCUUCACUUAAGGAUGGUGACUGGUUGCCAGGAGAACCAAUCAUGUGAUUAGAGGGUUGGACCUCUCAGUCCCACCCCCCAAUCACCAAUGGUCAACGAUUCAAUCAAUCAUGACUAUGUAAUGAAGCCUCUAUAAAAAUCUGGAAAGUGAGGCCGUGAAGAAUUCCUGGGUUGGUGAAUGUAUGUAGAAGUCCUGGGAGAGCGGGGCACUCAGAGAGCAUGGAAGUUCUACCCAUCCCCCUCCCCAUUCCUUGCCCUAUAUGUCUCUUCCACUUGGCUGUUCCUGAGUUAUAUUCUUUUGUAAUUAACCAGUAAUAUGAUGUUCGGAGUGGCCCUCCCUCAAGGCUAAAACAUUUGAGGAUUUUAUUCAGAAAGAAAAUCUUAAUCUUUCAGUGCAAGACUUGGUGGUUCUCAGUGAGCCUCUAGGAUGUAUUUCCGCCUCUCUGACUGCUCACCUGGUGGCAGAAUAGAGCAGCUUCUUUGACCUUGGCAGCAGCUUGCUGUUGUAGAUAAUAUCAUCGUCAUCAUCUCCAUUACACGGGUGAAGAAACUGCAGUACAGGGAAGUUAAGUGAUUUUCUGAGUAGAACACGGCAGAGCUGAAAGCACAGAUCUGCUUUAGAGACCACGUCCUGAACCAUCGCAUUAUAGCUUCCUGCCUCCUCCCGUCGCCCUGGCUGAAAGCUCUGGUAAUAGGUUCUUUAUUUUUCAUUAGCAUCAAAGAAGGCUUAGUGGAAAGGGUCAUCCUCAAUUAUUACAGUGGCUCCCGGGUUGCCUUCAUAUCUCUGCCCAGAUCUUUCCUUCUUACUCCCUAUUCCCCUAUUUAUCCAGUUUCACUCUUGAAGACUCGUUCAUCUUAUGCCCUUGUCUGGAUGUGGUUUUAGUUUCUCUCGCCCUGUGAACUCAGGCGGCUCAGAAUGGCUCUCCCCACCUCUCAGCCCAGUUUGCAGGCCGACCGCGGUUAGUCUACAUUUUAAAUGCGGUUAUAUUUAAUUAUGACUGUGACAGCGGGAGGUGUGACAUUCAGGAGAAAAUAAAUAGGAUUGACUUCACAAACACAUCUACACCCAUAAAAGGUAUUUCCAUUACUCAAGAAGACACACACACACACGCACACACACACACGCACACACACACACACACACACACACACACACGACUUUAGCUCAGGAAGCUGAUGGGAAGCUGGGGGACGGAAUUAGUAUGUCGUGUCACUGGCAUGCUUGUAUCAAGGUUCUUGAUGAGCACUUCUCAGCUGGUUGCGUGCCCUUCCUCCAAGGCACAGAGAAUGUGUUCUCUUUUGCAAGAGGGACUGAGAUUUGAGAAGUUGGGUGAUCGGGUUGAGGCCUGCAGUGGGGGAGGGCAGGCCGUGCACUGUCCUUCCCAGCGGCAGGCCUCCCUGCCCCCCGGCCUGUGCUGCCUGCUUCCUUCACUCGUGAUGUCCCAGGACAUCAGGAACCAGACAACCUACCCGUGAAGAUUAUCCUUUUCCUAUGGAAAGGAAAGCUUUCUUCCUGCUAAUAACCAUGCCAGGAUAUGGGGCAUAAAUUUCUCCAGAAAUAUCAAUCAUCUUGAAAAGAAAAAUCACCCACCCCGCCUAUAGUUAUAGAGGUAUUUGAGAGAGGGGUAUCAGGUACCAAACAAGUAGGAAGAGGAGUCUCCGCUGCAUCCUAUGUUGUAACUCUUUGUAAUCCCCCAAAUAUGCUGGUGGUUCCACACAAGGUACCCGCUCCGUCUGGGACACCCCUCAGUUUGCACUUCUGUUUUCUUAUAAAACAUUCUGUGUCUGUAUCUCUCUCUCUCUCUGAAGAUGUCAUAAGACAAAUAGUGAUCUGUGAAUUGUCAUAAGAUAUAAUUUAUAUAAAAUAUAGAAGCACAUUGUGUAGAUCACAUAUAUUGUACAUACACAUGUGUAUAUGCACAAACGUAAUGUCGUUUUUACUGUGUUUUUCCCUUUUUUACUUUCUUUUUUCCUAAUGUUUAUUUCUUCCUGAGACAGAAAGAGCGUGACUGGGGGA